AAGGGAGGAAAAUAAACUACAGCAGGAAUUCAGGCAAGAGUCAGUUCCUGCCUUUCCUGCAUCCUUCCAGACAGAAGAAGAGGGACUCUCUAGAUCCAAAGCCCUUCGGAGCAUGUCCUGAGAGCUUUUUUGGAAGAAACUUGCUCUUGGAGAUGUUUGGAAAGAGAAAGCCGAUGAAGAGGUGGCCUCACAGAGAUGACCCAACACGCGGGCUCCAAAUGCAGUUCUUUCUGAGAUGGGCUUUGAGACGCAAAGUGCUCGGUACAAUCAUCAUCUGUGUUGAGAAGCCAACCCCAGGAGGAGCGAUCUGGUGGAACCAAAGGGGAUUUGGAAUCAUGAAGAAGGAGGCCUCGAAUAUCGCCAAGCCCUUCCCACCAGAAGAACUAUGUGAUAUGCCAGGAACGUGGGGCACCCCACCAUCAGGAAUAAACAAUCCAACCUCCGAAGAGCUUGAAAUGGAAGAGAAGA